CCUACGGGGGGCAGCAGUGGGGAAUAUUGGGCAAUGGGCGCAAGCCUGACCCAGCAAUGCCGCGUGAAGGAAGAAGGCUUUCGGGUUGUAAACUUCUUUGACAGGGGAAGAGCAGAAGACGGUACCCUGAAAACAAGCCACGGCUAACUACGUUCCAGCAGCCGCGGUAAUACGUAGGUGUCAAGCGUUGUCCGGAUUUACUGGGUGUAAAGGGCGUGUAGCCGGGAAGGCAAGUCAGAUGUGAAAUCUGGAGGCUCAACCUCCAAAUUGCAUUUGAAACUGUUUUUCUUGAGGACUGGAGAGGCAGACGGAAUUCCUUGUGUAGCGGUGAAAUGCGUAGAUAUAAGGAGGAACGCCAGUGGCGAAGGCGGUCUGCUGGACAGCAACUGACGGUGAGGCGCGAAAGCGUGGGGAGCAAACAGGAUUAGAUACCCGAGUAGUC
rnacentral:rRNA from 1 species